rnacentral:rRNA from 1 species
AUUGAACGCUGCGGCAGGCUUAACACAUGCAAGUCGACGGUCAUGAAGAAGCUUGCUUCUUGAUACGAGUGGCGACGGGUGAGUAAUGCUUGGGAAUCUAGCUUAUGGAGGGGAUACUACGGGAACUGUAGCUAAUACCGCUAGAUCGAGAGAUGAAAGUGUGGGCCUUCGGGCCACAUGCCAUAGGAUGAGCCCAAGUGGGAUUAGGUAGUUGGUGAGGUAAAGGCUCACCAAGCCGACGAUCUCUAGCUGGUCUGAGAGGAUGACCAGCCCACUGGGAUGAGACACGGCCCAGACUCCUACGGGAGGCAGCAGUGGGGAAAUUGCGCAAUGGGGGCACCCUGACCAGCCAUCCGCUGAAUGAGAAGGCCUUCGGGUUGUAAAGUUCUUUCGGUAGCGAGGAAGGCAUUUAGUUUAAUAAACUAGGUGAUUGACGUUAACUACAGAAGAAGCACCGGCU